rnacentral:rRNA from 1 species
UACGUAGGGGGCAAGCGUUGUCCGGAUUUAUUGGGCGUAAAGAGCGUGUAGGCGGCUAGGUAGGUCCGCUGUGAAAACUUGAGGCUCAACCUCAAGAGGUCGGUGGAAACCAUCUGGCUAGAGUCCGGAAGAGGAGAGUGGAAUUCCCGGUGUAGCGGUAAAAUGCGCAGAUAUCGGGAAGAACACCCGUGGCGAAGGCGGCUCUCUGGGACGGUACUGACGCUGAGACGCGAAAGCGUGGGGAGCGAACAGG